rnacentral:rRNA from 1 species
GAUGAACGCUGGCGGCGUGCCUAAUACAUGCAAGUCGGGCGAACGGACGAGAAGCUUGCUUUUCUGAUGUUAGCGGCGGACGGGUGAGUAACACGUGGAUAACCUACCUAUAAGACUGGGAUAACUUCGGGAAACCGGAGCUAAUACCGGAUAAUAUUUUGAACCGCAUGGUUCAAAAGUGAAAGACGGUCUUGCUGUCACUUAUAGAUGGAUCCGCGCUGCAUUAGCUAGUUGGUAAGGUAACGGCUUACCAAGGCAACGAUGCAUAGCCGACCUGAGAGGGUGAUCGGCCACACUGGAACUGAGACACGGUCCAGACUCCUACGGGAGGCAGCAGUAGGGAAUCUUCCGCAAUGGGCGAAAGCCUGACGGAGCAACGCCGCGUGAGUGAUGAAGGUCUUCGGAUCGUAAAACUCUGUUAUUAGGGAAGAACACAUGUGUAAGUAACUGUGCACAUCUUGACGGUACCUAAUCAGAAAGCCACGGCUAACUACGUG